GAGAGGGCAGAUGUGAGCCAGCCAGAAGAAAUGUUAAGCAAAGCCCUAGGAAUAAACCGCAAAAUUCCCAGAGAUCCAAAAGGAUCUGCAGGAUUUAUCAGGCAUGCCUAUACGUUCUAGGGGUGGAUCAUAAAUCUGCAGUGAAUUGGGAGACGUGCUGAGACCUGGCGGCAUUCAAAUUAUCAACCCAUGCCAAGAAAGCCACUCUUCUAGAAAGAAGGGGGGUACACCAGAGAAAAAAAAAUCCCAGUGUUUCAUUGUCAUGAGGCUAAGCCAGGAAGAGACACUACAGUCUUGUCUGCAGAGCACCUUAAAUUUAUCUGUAAUUCGGUUCCCAGCUGAGCAGGUGCUUUAUUUUACGAGACGGCACUCCUCCAUUGUUUUGGGAUUUUACCCUGGGAAAUAGAAUGUAAGCAGCAAUAUCCCAUAGAGGUGAGGAUGCAAUCUGAUGAGGGGUGGAUGUUGUCUCACAAUUUCACCUGCAAAAAAAAAAAAAAAGAAGAAGAA